rnacentral:rRNA from 1 species
UACGGGGGGAGCAAGCGUUGUUCGGAUUUACUGGGCGUAAAGGGCGCGUAGGCGGCUUUAUAAGUCGGGGGUGAAAGCCUGUGGCUCAACCACAGAAUUGCCUUCGAUACUGUAGAGCUUGAGACCGGAAGAGGUAAGUGGAACUGCGAGUGUAGAGGUGAAAUUCGUAGAUAUUCGCAAGAACACCAGUAGGCGAAGGCGGCUACUGGGUCCGGUACUGGACGCUGAGGAGCGAAAGCG